rnacentral:rRNA from 1 species
UCUUCCACAAUGGGCGAAAGCCUGAUGGAGCAACGCCGCGUGAGCGAAGAAGGUCUUCGGAUCGUAAGGCUCUGUUGUAAGGGAAGAACAAGUGCAGUAGUAACUGGCUGCACCUUGACGGUACCUUACUAGAAAGCCACGGCUAACUACGUGCCAGCAGCCGCGGUAAUACGUAGGUGGCAAGCGUUGUCCGGAAUUAUUGGGCGUAAAGCGCGCGCAGGCGGUCUCUUAAGUCUGAUGUGAAAGCCCCCGGCUUAACCGGGGAGGGUCAUUGGAAACUGGGAGACUUGAGUGCAGGAGAGGGAAGCGGAAUUCCAUGUGUAGCGGUGAAAUGCGUAGAGAUAUGGAGGAACACCAGUGGCGAAGGCGGCUUCCUGGCCUGUAACUGACGCUGAGGCGCGAAAGCGUGGGGAGCAAACAGG